ACCUGCCUGGCCACCCUAUGGUUUCACAUCAACUGACCAUGAAAGGUCAAACUGCAGAGUGUCUGUCAGCAAUUGCAACCUCUGACAAUCAUCCAGACAAAUAUGUAAUCCCUCCACCCUCUUUCCAUAACCGCUGAAGCUAAGCAGUGUCACAGUGAGCCUAGAGUUCCCUGGGAAUCCCAAGACGUGACACACCCUGGAAAUGAAUGACCGGCCCUCUCAGGGAAGAAGACAUGGGCCAACAGAACCACGUGACACAUGGAUCGGGGCAGGAUUUUAUUCAUGGAACAAAAGAGGAGAGGAGUUUGGAAAAGCUCAGUGAAGACAUUAUGGGCAAAAGACAGCCAUUAUGGAAUCAGCAUGGGGAUCCCACAGCAGGAAACAAAUGACAGAUUAUAAAAACAGCUGAGGCUGACAAUGGGCUGGAUCUUCAGGGUUUGGGCACUUUUGGGGAACUAAAGUUAACAUUUCAUGACUGAAAAUAAGGUAAACGAAGUGAGUGGGCAGAUAAAACAGUGACUAAAAGACUAAUCAGCUUUUACAACCCCCCAUGCAAUCGCAACACCCUGUUUUAUGACUCAGUACCUUGUGGUACCUUCUCCACUGAUAGCAUGCAUGAAAAAAACUACAUAGGCAGAGAUGUUUACACCUGUUACUAUGUGGCGGUCACCUGCCUCUUCAUUGUCUCUUAUCUGGAUCAGAGUGAAUUACGACUGUCUU